CGGGGGCCGAGCCUGGCCAGUCCGCGCGCCCGCCAGCUCCGGAGCGGCGCGGUCUGCCAGAUCCCGGGACGCGGCGCUCGGGGGAGAGGGCGAAGGGACGCGGCGAUGGCCUCGCGGGGAUUCCCGGAUUUCGCCGUCCUCGCCGCCGCGGUCUUUGUGGCAGGCACCGUGAGCUCGCCGCUCGUGGGCCCGGACAGUGGCGGCAGCCACACGCUGCACUCCAAAACAGAGACGACCCCGUCGCCCACUGACAGUGCUGGGAGUGGACACCCAGAAUAUAUUGCGUAUGUGCUUGUCCCCGUGUUCUUCAUCAUGGGGCUCUUUGGCGUCCUCAUCUGCCACCUGCUUAAGAAGAAAGGCUAUCGUUGUACUACAGAAGCUGAGCAAGAUGCAGAGGAGGAAAAGGUUGAAAAGAUAGAGUUGAAUGACAGUAUGAAUGAAAAUAGCGACACUGUGGGGCGGAUUGUCCACUACAUCAUGAAGAAUGAAGCAAAUGCGGAUGUGCUAAAGGCCAUGGUAGCAGAUAACAGCAUCGGUGAUCCUGAGAGCCCCGUGACCCCCAGCACUCCUGGGAGCCCGCCCGUGAGCCCCGGGCCCUUGUCACCAGGUGGCACGCCAGGGAAGCACAUCUGUGGCCACCAUCUGCACACAGUGGGCGGUGCUGUCGAGAGAGAUGUGUGUCAGCGGUGCAGACACAAGAGGUGGCACUUCAUAAAACCGACCAACAAGUCCAAAGAGGGCCGCCCGAGACGCCAAGGGGAGGUCACGGUCCUCUCUGUGGGCAGGUUUAGAGUUACGAAGGUGGAACACAAGUCCAACCAGAAGGAGCGGAGAAGUUUGAUGUCGGUCAGUGGGACUGAGAGCGUCAAUGGCGAGGUGCCUGUGACCCCUCAGAAGAGAGAACGGAGAGGCACAGAGUAGCAGCAUGAUGAAAUCUCGUGCCGUCCUGCUCUGUUCUGCCCGGGACGUGAAUCAUCCCUCUGCCCAGCGUAUUCCGCACCCCGCCCGUUAGUCACUCGGCAGUCAUCUCCGCUACCAGAGCGACUGUCACGGUAUCGCAGAGCUUGUGUUCAGGAAUGACUCUAUUUGAAGAGUUCUAAGAGACUGAAAACUUACACGAUACGAAGUUGUGCCCAAGGAAUGUUUUUAAUCUUUUGUACGAUUUCUAUCGUGGAAUCUGCAGGCAUACGGAAGAAAGCCAAAAAGGGAAUAUUGUUGUUCUGCUGAAGACAGAAUUCAGUUGGCAUUGAAACAAGUUUUGAUUUAAAAAAGUCUCAUGAGAAAAUUAUCACAUUUCCAGGGAAGAAAAGAGCUCAUUUUUUUAUCUCCCCAAUUGCCUUCAGCCACCACCCCAUGGUGUAUACACCACAGUUUUUUCCAGUAUGAUCACUCUGUACAGUGGACGUAUUCGUGCAGUGCACAGUCUGAGCUGAUGCUCUGUGUGUGUGUGUGUGUGUGUGUGUGCACGCACACAUGUACUUUUGUUCCCCCAACGCUUCUAUGUUACUACUGGUCGUAAGAAGAUUCUCUUACAGUUUAACUGCUGCAGAAGAUAAAGACGGCUCUGGUAGUGAAAGGUCCCUGAGGAUAACCUAGUUGGCCCUGAGAAAUGGAUCCCCAAGAGGCCCUGGCGUCAGACUCUGGAUGCUGAGACCGAGAAUUCAGUGCUGACUCCUGCUACAUCAUGCCGCUCUUAGGUCACUUAUAAAAUAUUGGGAAGUUUUGUGUUGUUUUUUUUUUUUAACGUGAGCUAAACAAGUCUUACUUAGUUUAUUCAAUAAAGGGGAAAGUGGUUUAAAGUCACAAAAACAAAAAUAUUCUUGUUUUGACAACCCAAGUCCAAAUAAAAGGAAAAAUCUCCACUUCUCAUGCCAGACGGGCCGCGCUCCCCUGGCCAUUUUCUUUAUGCAUUGCUGGUUCCAUCUCGUAACUAAUGCUCGUUAUUUCAAAGAGUCGUGGUGGUUUUUCCCCUUUGGGCUUGGAAACCCUGCUUUUUUCUUUGCCUUAGGGUUUAUGAAACACCUGGAAGAACUCAGAGGCCAAGAUAGUGAAUUUAUGGUAGGUCUGGGCCAAAGCCUGGGAGGGUCCACUUCCAGGGAGAGCUCCCAGGGCCGCUGGAUGCUUGCUCUAUUUCAGAGGGAGAAAGCACAUUUCUCACUUGACUCCCAGGAGGUGAUUUCCAUUAAAAUGUAUUUAAAGCAUUUACUGUAAAUAUGCUCAUUCCAUUCUAUUUCUGGCAUCAGACUAAAGCUUCUAACCUUUUAAAUGAAUGGUAGGUUCAAUUUCAUGUGAAUUUUUACUGACAACUGAUUAAAAGGCGUACGUGCACACAUACAUCUACACAGUGGACUAGAGGAAGUCAGUGUGGAGGAAAUUUCACUGAGGUCCAAAAAGUAGCAAUACAGGAAUUUUGGGGAUGUGAAUUAGUAAAUAUGUGUGAACUAGACCAAUAGUUUUAGCUUUUUUUUUUUUUUUUUAAGAAAACAUCAUUUUUUGUUUGUUUGAAGAAUACACUCUCAGAAUGGUGAGGGAUAAUAUGUAAGAUAUUCUUCAGCUUUAAUUAUUUUUUAACUUUAUUCAGGUCAGAGCACUUUUUGUAAUAGCAAUACAACAGGCAGGAGAAUACUCAAAAAUAUUUAAGAUGAUUGUAUUUAUACCAACAGUACAUUUUAAAUAUUUUCUAAUACUUGAGCAGUUUUUAUCCAUCUGCAAAAUAUGCCAAAAGUUACGCAUUCAAUAUUUUCAACGCAUAAGCUUUUUACUGGUUUCUAUGAUCUAAUAAGAGCUCGAGUGUUCCCAACGCGAGUGAUGUUUACAGGCCUGUGCUCUCCUCCCGCGAGGGACGGGGGUCCGCACAGACUGACCGUGCACAACACUAACGAUGAUGGACUGACUGCUGGUGUAAAGGAGUGGGUUGGCCGCCACCUCGAUGUAAAAAUUUGUAAAGGAAAAUUUUCACCCUUAUGAGUGUCAAGUGUAUUUUUAACUGUCUGGUUUGUACUUCUACGACUUUUGUACUACCAAAGCAGAGUUAAAAAUAAAAAUGUUAAAUACAG